rnacentral:rRNA from 1 species
UACGUAGGGCGCGAGCGUUGUCCGGAAUUAUUGGGCGUAAAGAGCUCGUAGGUGGCUUGUUGCGUCUGCCGUGAAAGCCCGUGGCUUAACUACGGGUCUGCGGUGGAUACGGGCAGGCUAGAGGCUGGUAGGGGCAAGCGGAAUUCCUGGUGUAGCGGUGAAAUGCGCAGAUAUCAGGAGGAACACCGGUGGCGAAGGCGGCUUGCUGGGCCAGUUCUGACGCUGAGGAGCGAAAGCGUGGGGAGCAAACAGG